rnacentral:tRNA from 1 species
GGCCUAAUGGCCCAAUGGCAAGGCGCUUGACUACGACUUUGCAGUAAUCAAGAGAUUCCAGGUUCGACCCCUGGUUAGGUCA